UACGAAGGGGGCUAGCGUUGCUCGGAAUUACUGGGCGUAAAGGGCGCGUAGGCGGAUAUCUAAGUUGGGGGUGAAAUCCCGGGGCUCAACCUCGGAAUUGCCUUCAAAACUGGAUAUCUUGAGUUCGGGAGAGGUGAGUGGAACUCCGAGUGUAGAGGUGAAAUGCGUAGAGAUCCGGAGGAACACCAGAGGCGAAGGCGGCAACCUGGCACGUUACUGACGCUCAUACACGACAGCAUGGGGAGCGAACGGG
rnacentral:rRNA from 1 species